CGGCAGCGCGGGGCAACCUGGCGGCGAGUGGCGAACGGGUGAGUAAUAUAUCGGAACGUACCCUAGAGUGGGGGAUAACGUAGCGAAAGUUACGCUAAUACCGCAUACGAUCUAAGGAUGAAAGUGGGGGAUCGCAAGACCUCAUGCUCCUGGAGCGGCCGAUAUCUGAUUAGCUAGUUGGUGGGGUAAAGGCCUACCAAGGCAUCGAUCAGUAGCUGGUCUGAGAGGACGACCAGCCACACUGGAACUGAGACACGGUCCAGACUCCUACGGGAGGCAGCAGUGGGGAAUUUUGGACUAUGGGCGAAAGCCUGAUCCAGCAAUGCCGCGUGUGUGAAGAAGGCCUUCGGGUUGUAAAGCACUUUCGGACGGAACGAAAUCGCGCGGGUUAACAGCGCGCGUGGAUGACGGUACCGUAAGAAGAAGCACCGGCUAACUACGUGCCAGCAGCCGCGGUAAUACGUAGGGUGCGAGCGUUAAUCGGAAUUACUGGGCGUAAAGGGUGCGCAGGCGGCCCCGCAAGUCAGACGUGAAAUCCCUGGGCUUAACUUGGGAAUGGCGUUUGAAACUACGGGGCUGGAGUGUGGCAGAGGGAGGUGGAAUUCCACGUGUAGCGGUGAAAUGCGUAGAGAUGUGGAGGAACACCGAUG
rnacentral:rRNA from 1 species